UAUUUAUUUAUAUUUAUAAGAAAUAACUUUUAUCUUAGUAUAUUUUUUAGAAGAGAUGUUUUUUUAUUUAUAGUUUAGUUUUUCUGUAAAGUUGUAUUAUUAAUAGAUUCAUUAAAGUAAAGUUUAAUUCUUGUACCUUUUGUAUCAGGGUUUAUUAAAUAUUUAAUAACUAUAGUUAUAUAUCCCGAAAUUAGGAGAGAUACAUUAAUAUUGAUGAUUAUUGUAUUAAAAUUAUUAUUAAAUAUAAUGUAGGGGUUAUAUGCCAUUCAAUUCUAAAUAUCUGGUUGUCUAAUAAAUGAAUUAAAUUCAGGAUUAGUGUUUGUUAUAGUAAAAUUUUAUUUUAUAUAUUUUGCAUUAAUCUAAUACUAUUGGGGAUUAGCUUUUUAGUAUUUCUAUAAUUAAAUAUUAGUGUAAAAUUAUUUAGGUUUAAAAACGACCAUUAUUUUAUUUCGUUAUAGUUAAUUUUUAUUCUUGAUUUAUUUAUAUUUAAUUUAGAUUUUUAUUAGAGUUACUUAUUUGAAUAAUAUUUAUAAGGAGAUAAUGAUAAAAUUAGUAUAAUUUUUAGAUGUAGCAGAGUAAUUCGGCAAUUUAAAAGUUCACCUGUUUAACAAAAACAUGGCCUAUUGUUAAUAUUAUAUUAGGUCAAGCCUGCUCAGUGAUUAUUAUUAUUAAAUAGCCGCAGUAAUUUGACUGUGCGAAGGUAGCAUAAUCAUUUGUCUUUUAAUUGGAGGCUUGUAUGAAUGGUUUGAUGAAACUUUAACUUUCUUUGCUAUAAAUAUUAGAAUUUAAUGUUUGAGUUAAAAAGCUUAGAUAUUUCCAUAGGACGAGAAGACCCUAUAGAGUUUUACUAUAAUUAUGAUUUAUUUAAAUUAGGUAUGUAUUUUUAAAUAUUUACUUUUUAUAUUUAUGUUGGGGUGACAGAGAAAUUAAUAUAACUUUCUUUAUUUAUAUUGUUAUUGAUGUUUAUAUUAUUGAUCCUUUAUUAUGGAUAAUAAGAUUAAAUUACCUUAGGGAUAACAGCGUAAUUCCUUUGGAGAGUUCAUAUCGAUAAAGGAGUUUGCGACCUCGAUGUUGGAUUAAAAUAUGUAUUAAGUGCAGAAGCUUAAUUACUAGGUCUGUUCGACCUAUAAUAUUUUACAUGAUCUGAGUUCAGACCGGCGUGAGCCAGGUUGGUUUCUAUCCUUGGAUCUUGUUUCUUUGUCUUAGUACGAAAGGACCAGGCAGGGUAUUUAUAAUAAUAAUUUAUCUGAUUAUUAAUAAGAUAUAUUUAA
rnacentral:rRNA from 1 species